AAAAAAAAAAAAAAAAAAAAAAACUUCUCUCUACUCUCUUUUCUCUCUCGCGCGCGCUCGGUUCUUUUUUUUUUUUUUUUGAGAGAUCUGUAUUUACUAU
rnacentral:ribozyme from 11 species